GCAGCCGCGGUAAUUCCAGCUCCAAUAGCGUAUAUUAAAGUUGUUGCAGUUAAAAAGCUCGUAGUUGAAUUUCGGGGUUAGUAGGUUGGUCAUGCCUCUGGUAUGUACUGGUCUCACUGAUUCCUCCUUCCUGAUGAGCCGUAAUGCCAUUAAUUUGGUGUUGCGGGGAAUUUGGACUGUUACUUUGAAAAAAUUAGAGUGUUUAAAGCAAGCUAACGCUUGAAUACAUUAGCAUGGAAUAAUGAAAUAGGACGUUCGAUCCUAUUUUGUUGGUUUCUAGGAUUGACGUAAUGAUUAAUAGGGAUAGUUGGGGGCAUUAGUAUUCAAUUGUCAGAGGUGAAAUUCUUGGAUUUAUUGAAGACUAACUACUGCGAAAGCAUUUGCCAAGGAUGUUUUCAUUAAUCAAGAACGAAAGUUAGGGGAUCGAAGACGAUCAGAUACCGUCGUAGUCUUAACCAUAAACUAUGCCGACUAGGGAUCGGAUGAUGUUAAUUUUUUAAUGACUCAUUCGGCGCCUUACG
rnacentral:rRNA from 1 species